rnacentral:rRNA from 1 species
GGCACUACGGUGCUGAAGCAACAAAUGCCCUGCUUCCAGGAAAAGCCUCUAAGCAUCAGGUAACAUCAAAUCGUACCCCAAACCGACACAGGUGGUCAGGUAGAGAAUACCAAGGCGCUUGAGAGAACUCGGGUGAAGGAACUAGGCAAAAUGGUGCCGUAACUUCGGGAGAAGGCACGCUGAUAUGUAGGUGAAGUCCCUCGCGGAUGGAGCUGAAAUCAGUCGAAGAUACCAGCUGGCUGCAACUGUUUAUUAAAAACACAGCACUGUGCAAACACGAAAGUGGACGUAUACGGUGUGACGCCUGCCCGGUGCCGGAAGGUUAAUUGAUGGGGUUAGCGCAAGCGAAGCUCUUGAUCGAAGCCCCGGUAAACGGCGGCCGUAACUAUAACGGUCCUAAGGUAGCGAAAUUCCUUGUCGGGUAAGUUCCGACCUGCACGAAUGGCGUAAUGAUGGCCAGGCUGUCUCCACCCGAGACUCAGUGAAAUUGAACUCGCUGUGAAGAUGCAGUGUACCCGCGGCAAGACGGAAAGACCCCGUGAACCUUUACUAUAGCUUGACACUGAACAUUGAGCCUUGAUGUGUAGGAUAGGUGGGAGGCUUUGAAGUGUGGACGCCAGUCUGCAUGGAGCCGACCUUGAAAUACCACCCUUUAAUGUUUGAUGUUCUAACGUGGACCCGUAAUCCGGGUUGCGGACAGUGUCUGGUGGGUAGUUUGACUGGGGCGGUCUCCUCCUAAAGAGUAACGGAGGAGCACGAAGGUUGGCUAAUCCUGGUCGGACAUCAGGAGGUUAGUGCAAUGGCAUAAGCCAGCUUGACUGCGAGCGUGACGGCGCGAGCAGGUGCGAAAGCAGGUCAUAGUGAUCCGGUGGUUCUGAAUGGAAGGGCCAUCGCUCAACGGAUAAAAGGUACUCCGGGGAUAACAGGCUGAUACCGCCCAAGAGUUCAUAUCGACGGCGGUGUUUGGCACCUCGAUGUCGGCUCAUCACAUCCUGGGGCUGAAGUAGGUCCCAAGGGUAUGGCUGUUCGCCAUUUAAAGUGGUACGCGAGCUGGGUUUAGAACGUCGUGAGACAGUUCGGUCCCUAUCUGCCGUGGGCGCUGGAGAACUGAGGGGGGCUGCUCCUAGUACGAGAGGACCGGAGUGGACGCAUCACUGGUGUUCGGGUUGUCAUGCCAAUGGCACUGCCCGGUAGCUAAAUGCGGAAGAGAUAAGUGCUGAAAGCAUCUAAGCACGAAACUUGCCCCGAGAUGAGUUCUCCCUGACUCCUUGAGAGUCCUGAAGGAACGUUGAAGACGACGACGUUGAUAGGCCGGGUGUGUAAGCGCAGCGAUGCGUUGAGCUAACCGGUACUAAUGAACCGUGAGGCUUAACCUUACAACGCCGAAGCUGUU